rnacentral:tRNA from 1 species
UACUAAAUAGCUUAUCCGACCCAACAAGCAUCAACUUCUUAAGUUGAAGAUGUUCUUCAAAACUUUAGUAA